rnacentral:misc_RNA from 1 species
GUGAAUCAUCGAAUCUUUGAACGCAAAUUGCACUCCCUGGUAUUCCGGGGAGUAUGCCUGUUUGAGGGUCGUUAGAAUAAAAAAUCGAGGCGUUGCUCUUUUUUUUAGGGGUGACUGUGUGGGAAGUGAGCCGUCUUUCAAAUGUUAAUUCAUGGUAAAGUGGCUUGAAAUUAGUCCAUCCGGUGCGAUUAAAGCGUAUUUAAGAUGAAUCUUAGUUAAGAACGCGAGAUGAG